GAUGAAGAACGUAGCGAAAUGCGAUAAGUAAUGUGAAUUGCAGAAUUCAGUGAAUCAUCGAAUCUUUGAACGCAUCUUGCGCUCCUUGGUAUUCUGAGGAGCAUGCCUGUUUGAGUGUCAUUAAAUUCUCAACUACACUGACUUUGAAUUGGUGUGGCUUGGAUUUGGGGGGAAAAUUGUUGUGGGCUUUUUGUAUAGUCUGCUCCCCUGAAAUUGAUUAGCGGUACCUUUGUGGAACUGUCUAAAGGUGUGAUAAUUAUCUACAUCUUAGACAUCUGCUGGAAUGCUGCUUUCUAAACCUUACUUGUAUUGACAAUCUUGACCUCAAAUCAGGUAGGACUACCCGCUGAACUUAAGCAUAUCAAUAAGCGGAGGA
rnacentral:misc_RNA from 1 species